AUAAAAAUCAACUUUGUUGGUGAAUCAUAAUAACUUCUCGGACCGCAUGGCCUCGUGCUGGCGGUGCUUCAUUCAAAUAUCUGCCCUAUCAACUGUCGAUGGUAGGAUAGAGGCCUACCAUGGUUGCAACGGGUAACGGGGAAUAAGGGUUCGAUUCCGGAGAGGGAGCCUGAGAAACGGCUACCACAUCCAAGGAAGGCAGCAGGCGCGCAAAUUACCCAAUCCCAACACGGGGAGGUAGUGACAAUAUGUAACAGUAUACGGCCUUAUACGUCGUAUAAUUGGAAUGAGUACAAUUUAAAUCCCUUAACGAGGAACAAUUGGAGGGCAAGUCUGGUGCCAGCAGCCGCGGUAAUUCCAGCUCCAAUAGCGUAUAUUAAAGUUGUUGCAGUUAAAAAGCUCGUAGUUGGACCUUGGACCUGGACAGGCGGUCCGCCUCACGGCGAGUACUGUCUUGCUGGGUCUUUCCUCUUGGUGAUCUGUUGUUUCGGCAG
rnacentral:rRNA from 1 species